CGGGCAGGCUGCGGCAGCCGCGGCGCUGUUCCCAGGUGCAGGGGCUCCCGCGGCCAGGCCCCGCACCGGGACGGCUGCACCCUGCCCUGCCUGCGCUGUGCCCAGCGUGCAGGAAGGCCGAUCCCAGCGGGAAGCCCCCCGAGCCCGGCGUCCUGCCCCAUUCAGGCAGCAUCCCCACGUGCGCAGGGUGGCUGCGGCCCAUCCCUGCGGAGCUGCACGGGCUGCCCAGGCCCCAUCACAGGUGCCGCUGGGCACCCCCGCCCGCCCCAGCUCGAGCCCCAGGGCAGCCCCCACUUCCCGCCCAGCCCCCACCUUCCUAAGGGCCCGAGCGCCUCCCCCCACACCGCCCGGCCCCAGCACUCGGCACCUCAGUGCUGCCCCGCGUGGGACAGGGCGUCUGCCUGCCCGGGCCGGGGCUGGAGGGUGCCGCCGUGCUCCCACUUGCGGCUGCGCAGGAGAGCCCGGAGCAGCAACUUAAAAAAAAAGCAAAACCCCCCAAUUUCGUUGCGUGCCUCCUGGUGUGCUGGGAGAAAUGUCUGUGCGUGCCGGGGGGUGCCAACACCUGUCCUAGAACACAGAGGAAGUUAAAGUAACAGGUUUCCCUACGGCAGUCUGAUGUGAUGGUUGGCAACAUUUCUGGGUAGAGUGCCAAAAACACCCACAACCUUGACUUGAUGGCUCUGGAAGAAACCAGGGUGUGCAGAAGCAGCCAUAGAGAAAAUGCAGCAGGACUCAGGGCUACUUGAAAGAGCAUCAGAUGGGCUACUGUGUUCACAUAUCUAUGAAGCCAGUCAGGUCAUCAAGAUCAACAUCUUCCUUCAGCAAAGUCCAUGUAAAGUGACAUUCGAGCUGCAGCAGGAUAGGCUGUAGGAUAUUCUUGGAAAUAUUACUAGAGGAAAAAACAGAAGAAUAUGUUUAAGCAUCUGUGAGAAGAGCAGAUUCAUGAAUAAAGAUAUGCAAAGGAGGACAAUUAA